rnacentral:rRNA from 1 species
UUAAGCGACUAAGCGUACACGGUGGAUGCCCUGGCAGUCAGAGGCGAUGAAGGACGUGCUAAUCUGCGAUAAGCGUCGGUAAGGUGAUAUGAACCGUUAUAACCGGCGAUUUCCGAAUGGGGAAACCCAGUGUGUUUCGACACACUAUCAUUAACUGAAUCCAUAGGUUAAUGAGGCGAACCGGGGGAACUGAAACAUCUAAGUACCCCGAGGAAAAGAAAUCAACCGAGAUUCCCCCAGUAGCGGCGAGCGAACGGGGAGCAGCCCAGAGCCUGAAUCAGUGUGUGUGUUAGUGGAAGCGUCUGGAAAGGCGCGCGAUACAGGGUGACAGCCCCGUACACAAAAAUGCACAUGCUGUGAGCUCGAUGAGUAGGGCGGGACACGUGGUAUCCUGUCUGAAUAUGGGGGGACCAUCCUCCAAGGCUAAAUACUCCUGACUGACCGAUAGUGAACCAGUACCGUGAGGGAAAGGCGAAAAGAACCCCGGCGAGGGGAGUGAAAAAGAACCUGAAACCGUGUACGUACAAGCAGUGGGAGCACGCUUAGGCGUGUGACUGCGUACCUUUUGUAUAAUGGGUCAGCGACUUAUAUUCUGUAGCAAGGUUAACCGAAUAGGGGAGCCGAAGGGAAACCGAGUCUUAACUGGGCGUUAAGUUGCAGGGUAUAGACCCGAAACCCGGUGAUCUAGCCAUGGGCAGGUUGAAGGUUGGGUAACACUAACUGGAGGACCGAACCGACUAAUGUUGAAAAAUUAGCGGAUGACUUGUGGCUGGGGGUGAAAGGCCAAUCAAACCGGGAGAUAGCUGGUUCUCCCCGAAAGCUAUUUAGGUAGCGCCUCGUGAAUUCAUCUCCGGGGGUAGAGCACUGUUUCGGCAAGGGGGUCAUCCCGACUUACCAACCCGAUGCAAACUGCGAAUACCGGAGAAUGUUAUCACGGGAGACACACGGCGGGUGCUAACGUCCGUCGUGAAGAGGGAAACAACCCAGACCGCCAGCUAAGGUCCCAAAGUCAUGGUUAAGUGGGAAACGAUGUGGGAAGGCCCAGACAGCCAGGAUGUUGGCUUAGAAGCAGCCAUCAUUUAAAGAAAGCGUAAUAGCUCACUGGUCGAGUCGGCCUGCGCGGAAGAUGUAACGGGGCUAAACCAUGCACCGAAGCUGCGGCAGCGACGCUGAUGCGUUGUUGGGUAGGGGAGCGUUCUGUAAGCCUGCGAAGGUGUGCUGUGAGGCAUGCUGGAGGUAUCAGAAGUGCGAAUGCUGACAUAAGUAACGAUAAAGCGGGUGAAAAGCCCGCUCGCCGGAAGACCAAGGGUUCCUGUCCAACGUUAAUCGGGGCAGGGUGAGUCGACCCCUAAGGCGAGGCCGAAAGGCGUAGUCGAUGGGAAACAGGUUAAUAUUCCUGUACUUGGUGUUACUGCGAAGGGGGGACGGAGAAGGCUAUGUUGGCCGGGCGACGGUUGUCCCGGUUUAAGCGUGUAGGCUGGUUUUCCAGGCAAAUCCGGAAAAUCAAGGCUGAGGCGUGAUGACGAGGCACUACGGUGCUGAAGCAACAAAUGCCCUGCUUCCAGGAAAAGCCUCUAAGCAUCAGGUAACAUCAAAUCGUACCCCAAACCGACACAGGUGGUCAGGUAGAGAAUACCAAGGCGCUUGAGAGAACUCGGGUGAAGGAACUAGGCAAAAUGGUGCCGUAACUUCGGGAGAAGGCACGCUGAUAUGUAGGUGAAGUCCCUUGCGGAUGGAGCUGAAAUCAGUCGAAGAUACCAGCUGGCUGCAACUGUUUAUUAAAAACACAGCACUGUGCAAACACGAAAGUGGACGUAUACGGUGUGACGCCUGCCCGGUGCCGGAAGGUUAAUUGAUGGGGUCAGCGCAAGCGAAGCUCUUGAUCGAAGCCCCGGUAAACGGCGGCCGUAACUAUAACGGUCCUAAGGUAGCGAAAUUCCUUGUCGGGUAAGUUCCGACCUGCACGAAUGGCGUAAUGAUGGCCAGGCUGUCUCCACCCGAGACUCAGUGAAAUUGAACUCGCUGUGAAGAUGCAGUGUACCCGCGGCAAGACGGAAAGACCCCGUGAACCUUUACUAUAGCUUGACACUGAACAUUGAGCCUUGAUGUGUAGGAUAGGUGGGAGGCUUAGAAGUGUGGACGCCAGUCUGCAUGGAGCCGACCUUGAAAUACCACCCUUUAAUGUUUGAUGUUCUAACGUUGACCCGUAAUCCGGGUUGCGGACAGUGUCUGGUGGGUAGUUUGACUGGGGCGGUCUCCUCCUAAAGAGUAACGGAGGAGCACGAAGGUUGGCUAAUCCUGGUCGGACAUCAGGAGGUUAGUGCAAUGGCAUAAGCCAGCUUGACUGCGAGCGUGACGGCGCGAGCAGGUGCGAAAGCAGGUCAUAGUGAUCCGGUGGUUCUGAAUGGAAGGGCCAUCGCUCAACGGAUAAAAGGUACUCCGGGGAUAACAGGCUGAUACCGCCCAAGAGUUCAUAUCGACGGCGGUGUUUGGCACCUCGAUGUCGGCUCAUCACAUCCUGGGGCUGAAGUAGGUCCCAAGGGUAUGGCUGUUCGCCAUUUAAAGUGGUACGCGAGCUGGGUUUAGAACGUCGUGAGACAGUUCGGUCCCUAUCUGCCGUGGGCGCUGGAGAACUGAGGGGGGCUGCUCCUAGUACGAGAGGACCGGAGUGGACGCAUCACUGGUGUUCGGGUUGUCAUGCCAAUGGCACUGCCCGGUAGCUAAAUGCGGAAGAGAUAAGUGCUGAAAGCAUCUAAGCACGAAACUUGCCCCGAGAUGAGUUCUCCCUGACCCUUUAAGGGUCCUGAAGGAACGUUGAAGACGACGACGUUGAUAGGCCGGGUGUGUAAGCGCAGCGAUGCGUUGAGCUAACCGGUACUAAUGAACCGUGAGGCUUAACCUU